AUACUCAUGUUCCUUACUUCCUUCCAUGUUACCUUUUUGAACAAAAGGAGUAGGGUUAAACAAAAAUGUAAGAUCCUUACAUUGGGAGGAAGAUCAUGGAUGCAAUCUUAAUUGCCACUGAGUGCAGGGGAAACAGACGAAGAAGCCUAAAUCCAGGUAUCUUAUUCAAACUACAUAUCCACUAAACAUAUAUCACUUGAACUGGAGCUCCUUCAUCCAUAUGCUUCAAAGAAUGGGGUUUGGCACAAGAUGGAUUGUGUGGACUAAACAUCUAAGUUGCUCAGACUCGGGUGCGG
rnacentral:misc_RNA from 1 species